rnacentral:tRNA from 1 species
UCCUCAGUAGCUCAGUGGUAGAACUGUCGCUGUUAACCGAUUAGUCGUAGGUUCAAAUCCUAUUUGAGGAU